GACGAACGCUGGCGGCGUGCCUAACACAUGCAAGUCGAACGGAAACUUCCUGCUUUUGUGCGGUGCUCGAGUGGCCACCGGGUGACUAACCCGUGAGUACGCAGCCCCUGACUUUGGGAUAUCCUCAUGACACUUGUGCUCAUACCGGGUAAGAGCUCUUGCUGCUUGGUGGGGGUUGGAAAGUUUCGGCGGUUGGGGAUGGACUCGCGGAUUAUCAGCUUGUUGGUGGGGUGGUGGCUUACCAAGGCUUUGACGGGUAGCCGGCCUGGGAGGGGGACCGGACACACUGGGACUGAGAUGAGGCACAGACUCCAACGGGAGGCAACGGUGGAGAGUAUAGUACAGUGGGAUGGGGCAUAAUGCAACAACGCCGCGUGGGGGAUGAGGGCCUGGGGGUUGGAAAGCGCAUUUGUCUGAGACGAAGCGUGAGUGACGGUAAUGGGUAAAGAAGCACCGGCUAACUACGUG
rnacentral:rRNA from 1 species